UGGGGAAUUUUGGACAAUGGGCGCAAGCCUGAUCCAGCAAUGCCGCGUGCAGGAUGAAGGCCUUCGGGUUGUAAACUGCUUUUGUACGGAACGAAACGGCUCUGGUUAAUACCUGGGGCUGAUGACGGUACCGUAAGAAUAGGCACCGGCUAACUACGUGCCAGCAGCCGCGGUAAUACGUAGGGUGCGAGCGUUAAUCGGAAUUACUGGGCGUAAAGCGUGCGCAGGCGGUGAUGUAAGACAGAUGUGAAAUCCCCGGGCUCAACUUGGGACCUGCAUUUGUGACUGCAUCGCUGGAGUGCGGCAGAGGGGGAUGGAAUUCCGCGUGUAGCAGUGAAAUGCGUAGAUAUGCGGAGGAACACCGAUGGCGAAGGCAAUCCCCUGGGCCUGCACUGACGCUCAUGCACGAAAGCGUGGGGAGCAAACA
rnacentral:rRNA from 1 species